GAUGAACGCUGGCGGCGUGCUUAACACAUGCAAGUCGAACGGGAAUUAUUUUAUUGAAACUUCGGUCGAUUUCAUUUAAUUCUAGUGGCGGACGGGUGAGUAACGCGUGGGUAACCUGCCUUAUACAGGGGGAUAACAGUCAGAAGUGGCUGCUAAUACCGCAUAAGCGCACAGAGCUGCAUGGCUCAGUGUGAAAAACUCCGGUGGUAUAAGAUGGACCCGCGUUGGAUUAGCUGGUUGGUGGGGUAACGGCCCACCAAGGCGACGAUCCAUAGCCGGCCUGAGAGGGUGAACGGCCACAUUGGGACUGAGACACGGCCCAGACUCCUACGGGAGGCAGCAGUGGGGAAUAUUGCACAAUGGGGGAAACCCUGAUGCAGCGACGCCGCGUGAAGGAAGAAGUAUCUCGGUAUGUAAACUUCUAUCAGCAGGGAAGAUAGUGACGGUACCUGACUAAGAAGCCCCGGCUAACUACGUG
rnacentral:rRNA from 1 species